UACUCCUACGGGAGGCAGCAGUGGGGAAUAUUGCACAAUGGGCGCAAGCCUGAUGCAGCCAUGCCGCGUGUGUGAAGAAGGCCUUCGGGUUGUAAAGCACUUUCAGCGGGGAGGAAGGCGUUAAGGUUAAUAACCUUGGCGAUUGACGUUACCCGCAGAAGAAGCACCGGCUAACUCCGUGCCAGCAGCCGCGGUAAU
rnacentral:rRNA from 1 species